rnacentral:rRNA from 1 species
UGCUCGAUUAUGGUAGUUGGUGAGGUAACGGAUCACCAAGCCGAUAAUCGAUAGGGGCCGUGAGAGCGGUUGCCCCGAGAUGGGUACUGAGACAGCGACCCAGGCCUUACGAGGCGCAGCAGGCGCGAGACCUCCGCAAUACACGCAAGUGUGACGGGGUUACCCAAAGUGUCCUUAUUGGACUGUGGCGGGUGAGUAAUGUUCCCUGCUAGAAAGGAGAGGGCAAGGCUGGUGCCAGCCGCCGCGGUAAAACCAGCUCUUCAAGUGGUCGGGAUAAUUAUUGGGCUUAAAGUGUCCGUAGCCGGUUUAGUAAGUUCCUGGUAAAACCGGGCAGCUUAACUGUCCGUAUGCUAGGAAUACUGCUAUGCUAGAGGGCGGGAGAGGUCUGAGGUACUACAGGGGUAGGGGUGAAAUCUUAUAAUCCUUGUAGGACCACCAGUGGCGAAAGCGUCAGACUGGAACGCGCCUGACGGUGAGGGACGAAGGCCAGGGGAGCGAACCGGAUUAGAUACCCGGGUAGUCCUGGCCGUAAACGAUGCAUACUAGGCAAUGGUGCGGCCAUGAGCCGCAUCAGUACCGUAGGGAAACCGUUAAGUGUGCCGCCUGGGAAGUACGGUCGCAAGGCUAAAACUUAAAGGAAUUGGCGGGGGAGCACCACAAGGGGUGAAGCCUGCGGUUCAAUUGGACUCAACGCCGGGAAACUUACCAGGGGAGACAGCAGAAUGACAGUCAGGUUGACGACCUUACUCGACGAGCUGAGAGGAGGUGCAUGGCCGUCGCCAGUUCGUGCUGUGAGGUAUCCUGUUAAGUCAGGCAACGAACGAGAUCCGCGCCUUUAUUUGCCAUCAAGAAGUCACGACUUCGUUGGGAACACUAAAGGGACCGCCGUCGAUAAGACGGAGGAAGGAGCGGGCAAAGGCAGGUCAGUAUGCCCCGAAACCCCUGGGCUACACGCGGGCUGCAAUGGUGCGAACAAUGGGCUGUAACUCCGAAAGGUAGAAACCAAUCCCGAAAUCGCAUAUUCAGUGGGGAUUGUCG